GCAAGUGCCAGAGGGUGAGUCUGCGGCCUAUCAGGUAGUAGGUGGUGUAACGGACCACCUAGCCUAAGACGGGUACGGGCCUUGAGAGAGGAAGCCCGGAGAUGGGUUCUGAGACACGAACCCAGGCCCUACGGGGCGCAGCAGGCGCGAAACCUUCGCACUGCGCGAAAGCGCGACGAGGGGAGACCGAGUGCCUCUCCUUUUUUGGGGAGGCUUUUCACAAGCCUAAAAAGCUUGUGGAAUAAGGGCUGGGCAAGACGGGUGCCAGCCGCCGCGGUAAUACCCGCAGCUCAAGUGGUGGUCGCUUUUAUUGAGCCUAAAACGUUCGUAGUCGGCUUUGUAAAUCCUUGGGUAAAUCGGGCCGCUCAACGGUUCGAAUUCUGAGGAGACUGCAAAGCUAGGGACCGGGCGAGGUCGGAGGUACUUUCGGGGUAGGAGUGAAAUCCUGUAAUCCCGAAGGGACCACCUGUGGCGAAAGCGUCUGACUUGAACGGCUCCGACGAUGAGGAACGAAGGCUAGGGGAGCAAACCGGAUUAGAUACCCGGGUAGUCCUAGCUGUAAACUCUGCCCGCUUGGUGUGGCCUGUUCUUCGGGAGCAGGCUGUGCCGGAGCGAAGGUGUUAAGCGGGCUGCUUGGGGAGUACGGCCGCAAGGUUGAAACUUAAAGGAAUUGGCGGGGGAGCACCGCAACGGGAGGAUGCGUGCGGUU
rnacentral:rRNA from 1 species